rnacentral:snRNA from 1 species
AAGGACAUAUAAAUUCAAA